CACCCUCCGUGGGUCUCCAGGUACAGCUUGUUCACCACCGAGAGCACCUUCUCCGAGAUGUUGAGUUGGACGCUGCUGGUCUGUGGAAGACCUGGGAGCCAGCACAACCGAGGCUUGCAUCCCACUUAUGCCACCAAAUAGGAUUUGGGAGAUUAUUUUGGAAGCAAAGCUCACCAAAUUUGCUGUGGACUGGAAACUCAGGAGUAGGCUCCUUACCUCCAGGAAGCUUCUGGAUCUGGUAGGUGCAGACUUCUCCUGGUGAAGCUCCUGUCCUCAACACCAGGACCUGGCUGGAGUUGUGUCCUGUGACCAGGAAACUCUGGUUCGGGGGUGGGGGUGGAGGCAAAGGUCAUCUUGGAGAGGAUUUGUGCAGAUGUCUGUUACUUUUGCCUGCCCGGCAUCCCAUUUCCCUUAUGUUGGGUUCCACACGCCAAAUUUCCUUUAGAGAAACCCACUUCCUCCCUUAGUGCCCGUGGGUGGGACUAACUCUGUCCAAGCCCUAGGGGUGGUCUGUGACCUGACCUAGCCAAUAGGAUGACAGUGCUUUCUAACCACUGUGAUUGGUUCAGAGAUGGGCAUGUGAAUCAGGCCCAGCCAAUGGAAAUCUUCCACGAGGUUUUUGCUGGAGCUCUUUGGCACAAGGACUCUUUUCACACUGGGAUUGCUAAGCUUGUGAGAUGUGGCCCUGAGCUGGGGACAGCCAUCUCUGCCACCACAAGGAGGGAGCCCCCUCGAGAAGGAAGCUGUGUAGACCCUAGUUGCCUUAUCCUAAUCCGUUCCCUAUCCCUUGCAGAACUGCAGGGUUGUGAGGGCCUCAUCUGCCCAGCCGUAGAAGAUGGAUAAUGACGUAGGUGGUGUUUCUCACCUCGGGUUUUAUAACUCCCAGGGGAGCUUUAAACAAUGUAUUGCUACCCGGGCCCCCUUCCAUAUGUUUUGAAUCAAUUGUGAAGGCUUUUGGUUUUCCUGUUUCUUUUAACCGGCACUUCCUUUCUCGUCUUCCUCCUGCCUGGAGCUCACACACGUGCUUGGACCCGGGGCAGCCACUGGGCUUCCAUGGAGGAAGUCCAAGAGAAUUGCAAAAGCUGGCCUUGAUGUCACUCGAGCUGCUAAACUAGAGCCUGCAGCUGCCUUUCUGGUACAAAGAGCAGUGCCUAUUUGCCUAAGCUACUGUGUGGAUCGAGUGUUUGUUCCUUGAAACCCCAAACGGUCGGCUUUCCCCACAGUUUAAAGCAAAGCCAAGGGGCGCCUGGGUGGCUCAGUUGGUUGAGCGGCCGACUUCGGCUCGGGUCACAAUCUCACGGUUUGUGAGUUCGAGCCCGCGUCGGCCUCUGGGCUGACGGCUCUCUCUGCCCCUCCUCCACUCAUGCUCUCUCUCUGUCUCAGAAAUAAGUAAGCAUUAAAAAAAAAAAUUUUAAGCAAAGCCAA